CCUACGGGAGGCUGCAGUCGAGAAUCAUUCACAAUGGGGGAAACCCUGAUGGUGCGACGCCGCGUGGGGGAAUGAAGGUCUUCGGAUUGUAAACCCCUGUCAUGUGGGAGCAAAUUAAAAAGAUAGUACCACAAGAGGAAGAGACGGCUAACUCUGUGCCAGCAGCCGCGGUAAUACAGAGGUCUCAAGCGUUGUUCGGAAUCACUGGGCGUAAAGCGUGCGUAGGCGGUUUCGUAAGUCGGGUGUGAAAGGCGCGGGCUCAACCCGCGGACGGCACAUGAGACUGCGAGACUAGAGUGAUGGAGGGGGAACCGGAAUUCUCGGUGUAGCAGUGAAAUGCGUAGAUAUCGAGAGGAACACUCGUGGCGAAGGCGGGUUCCUGGACAUUAACUGACGCUGAGGCACGAAGGCCAGGGGAGCGAAAGGGAUUAGAUACCCGAGUAGUC
rnacentral:rRNA from 1 species